rnacentral:rRNA from 1 species
AUGAACGCUGGCGGCGUGCCUAAUACAUGCAAGUCGAGCGAACGGACGAGAAGCUUGCUUCUCUGAUGUUAGCGGCGGACGGGUGAGUAACACGUGGAUAACCUACCUAUAAGACUGGGAUAACUUCGGGAAACCGGAGCUAAUACCGGAUAAUAUUUUGAACCGCAUGGUUCAAAAGUGAAAGACGGUCUUGCUGUCACUUAUAGAUGGAUCCGCGCUGCAUUAGCUAGUUGGUAAGGUAACGGCUUACCAAGGCAACGAUGCAUAGCCGACCUAAGAGGGUGAUCGGCCACACUGGAACUGAGACACGGUCCAGACUCCUACGGGAGGCAGCAGUAGGGAAUCUUCCGCAAUGGGCGAAAGCCUGACGGAGCAACGCCGCGUGAGUGAUGAAGGUCUUCGGAUCGUAAAACUCUGUUAUUAGGGAAGAACAUAUGUGUAAGUAACUGUGCACAUCUUGACGGUACCUAAUCAGAAAGCCACGGCUAACUACGUG